UACGGAGGGUGCGAGCGUUGUCCGGAAUCACUGGGCGUAAAGGGCGCGUAGGCGGCUUGCCAAGUCAGGGGUGAAAUCUUUCGGCUCAACCGGAAAAGUGCCUUUGAUACUGGCGAGCUAGAGGGAGGUAGGGGUGCGUGGAACUUCUGGUGGAGCGGUGAAAUGCGUAGAUAUCAGAAGGAACGCCGGUGGCGAAAGCGACGCACUGGAUCUCUACUGACGCUGAGGCGCGAAAGCUAGGGGAGCGAACGGG
rnacentral:rRNA from 1 species